UUAAUAUGUUUGUUAAAACCAUAGAAUGUACAACACCAAGAGCAGAUCUUAAUGUAAACAAGGCAUUGAGUGAUUGUGAUGUGUCAAUGCUGGUUUGUUAAAUUGUAACAAAUGUCCCAUUCUGGCAGAAGAUGGUGAUAGUGGGGGAGGUUGUGUGUGUGCAGGGAUGAGAUAUAUAGGGGAACACUUUGUUCCACUCACUCAGUUUUGCAGUGAAUUUAAACCUCCUCUAAAAACUAAAGUUUACUAAUUAAAAAAAAAAAUGGAAUCCCUAAGGUGCAGACAAAAGAAGAAGCCCCUUCUCAUUCCUCAGUGGAGAAUGGUCUAGAGAUGAACAGGAAUGGAAGCUCAAGAAGGCUCUGCAGUAAACUAAUGAGAAGUGAUAACAGCUCAGACACACGAGUGACAGGGGAACAAGAGAGAAGUGGACAGAUUCAAAUGUGUUUUGGUGACAGAAUGACCCAACUGAAAAGACAAGCAAUGACAGCAACAAAAUUCUGGAAACUGAAAAGCAGAGGAUGUAUGCUGGUUUACGUAAUACAAUGAAGAAAACUGAAAACUAAAGCUGCCAUCGGGGAAGCCCCCAAACAAGCUGAGUUGCUCUACAAAACCCCGGCGAUGACCAGAAUUGGGGAUUUUAGGUAUCUCCGAAAGUGGGGUUGAAAGUCAAGAUGAGAACAAAGAGUCUGGGAGUUCCCGGGUGGCUCAGCAGAUUAAGGAUCCAGCAUGGUCACUGCAGCGGCUCAAGUCACGGCUGUGGUGUGGACUCAAUCCCUGGCUCGGGAAACAUCCACAUGCCGUGGGCACAGUCCAAAAAGAAAAAAAGAAAACAGAAAGUCUGCUUUAAAAGCAGGUAGGCUCUGGCACAUCAAUAUAUGUGUGUAUAAUCAACUAUAAUAAAAAAAUUAAAAACCUA